GGAUGUGAGGGCAAUCUGCCUGCAAUAUCUGUCAUUUCACUGAUCGCCAGGGUUGAUUUGACUGAUCUGGCUGGCUAGCUGGGUUUCCCCUGCUUCCCUCACACCAUACAUGUGUGUCUCUCCUGAAGUUAUAUCUUUAGUCACAGAGGAUGACCAUCCCCACUAGAGGAGGACUGGUCUGUGGUCAAGGGUAUACAAGUAGCAGCGGGCCCCAAUUAGAACCUCCAAACAAGCUCUCAAGAAUACAUGCAAUGAUAGUACUGUGCUAUUGAAGAAAUGCAGAAACACUGAUGAACUGUGAAACUCACUCACU
rnacentral:snRNA from 1 species